GGGCAGAUGAUGAGUUAUUUGUAUUUUGUGCUUAUCAAACCGUGAAGCUACAAAAUCGAGCUUUUUAAAACUGAUGCCCU